AAGCUAAUUAGGUGGCUGAGCCAAAGGAAUUCAGCCGCAGGUGUCCAGUCAAGAUCAUCUAUUAAGAUUUGGGUUUUGAAUCUUUUGAUUAGGUAUGGGCUAAGGUCUACUGAUUUGUAAAACAGGAUAGAAGAAGACAUGUUAGAUGAGGUUGAAUGCACAAUAUCCAGGAAAUCAGGAUAGAACAGAAAACCUUGGUUGCAACUAAGUUAGAGAAGGGGGGUAGAGAGAACCUAGAGAAUUCAUGCCUAGGGCUAUUAGGGAUCAUGCUAAGAUGAUAGAAGCAUCACACAACCCAAAGUAAACAUAUCUGCUGCUGCAAGCUCAGAAAGUGUUUAUUUAGCCUUUAGUGUAGGAGUUUACAAUUGUUAAUUGGCUGCUGGUAAACUCAUGACCCUGAAAACCAUUUGGUCAAGGUAAAGUUCACCCCUUAUCAACCAAUGCCAUUUAGCCCAUUCAACCCAGAAAGCAAACAAUAAGAAGUCUAAGUGAACAAAGCCCAUUAAAUUCCUCCUAGAGAAAUUACAAAUCACCUUAGACUAAAUUAUUUAAAGGAAACACUAAAAAAAUAUAUUAAGCCACCAGUAAAUAAUGAAUUCAAAAAAAAAAAAAAAUCAAGUCAUCCACCUUAUUUCUAAUUUGCUAAAUCAAAAAUUGUGAUUUAAAAUUAGGGUUUCCUUGUCUCCUGCUAACUUUUCCAAAUCUCCAGUUACUGUCCUCAUCAAACUAAUUAAACCUCUUGAUUUACACUACAUUGUGUGGUAAUAUGAGUGAAAAAUUUGUCAAAAUGAUAGGAAGUCUGAAGGCAGUUGAAAUAAACAUCAAAACAGAGAGAGAAAACUGUUGGUUAGACUGCCUUUAGCUAAUCCUUCAUACUGGGAUAGUCUUCUAUUUUGGAGCUGAAGCCCACAUGAGUCAUGUCCUUCACCUACCCAGUCAUUUUUGGAUUUUCAUUCUAUUUGAGUUUCCAAUGGUUUGGUGAAGCACUCACCAAGGAGAUUUAAGCAUGUCCUUUAUUUCUUUUAUUUAUUUAUUUAUUUUUGGUAGCUUGGUCAACAACGCUAGUUGCAAAGUGAGGAUUAUUUACUUCCUGAUGACCUUGAGUCAUUUUAUGUGAUUGAAUGAAGUUUGUGGAAGUAUGCUUGUCACCUUCUUUAUUACAACGGUAUCCCCCAUUGGUCUUGUUGAGUUUCAUAGAAGAGGAUGAAAAACAAAAGCAUGAAGAUUUUGAUGCAAAAGAUUGCAGAAGUCUCAAAUAGUUUCAAAAGGAUGUCUAUCACUACCAUAACAUGGUUUACCUUGUAUCUUUUUCAAGGCUGGAACUGAAUUUUUAACCUGUACAAGAGGUGGCAAUCAUUUCUUGGAAAAGGUUUUUUAUUUUUUAUUUUUUUAUUCAACACUUGCAUCCCUGCCAUGCAUCCCAUCUGGCUUAUCCUUCAAGGAAAGUAAUCUUAUUAUUCUUUAUUACUGUUUCAAAUGUAGAGAUCACAAUUCUUCAACCAUGCAUCUAUAUUUGGAUAUUGCAGGGAUCGAUUAUUCCAACUCGGAUGCCCAUUGGUGCAAAAAAGUAACAUGUGAAGCCUCUCUUAAUAUGUAAGCUUAUUGUUUGAGUCAUUGUGUCUGGCCAUGUGAUAUAAGUUUAUGUAAAGGGAGGAUGCACACUUUUUAAGAAAAGAAAAGCUAAAGUAUUGAGGCACAGUUUUCCUUUCAUAUUUGAGCUGGAGACCAGAAUUAUGGAAUUAGAAGUGUUUCUUCAUUUUCCCUCAUUUCUUUCCUUUUAAUUAGUAUGUCCAUUUGGCUCAUGUGAAUUUUGGAAUCAUGAGAGUCCAUGAGUUUAAAUUCUAAGCAAUGCCCGAUAAACUCUUUUAAGUUACUAUGAUGCAUGCUUGCAUAGGCCUGGAGGGUUAUAGCUGUACUUUUAUGUUCUAUCACCAGUUAGUUUCAAUCCAAUGAAGGUAUAGCCUUGCAUUUCAUUCAAAACAUACUCAGGAAAUUAGUUGUUUGCUUAUAGGUAAACCUGUAUUUUAAGCUAGAUGGACAUUAUUGCAUUUUCUUCUCUGGGGUAGUAUUAAGAGUAAAUUCUUUGUGUUUGGUUACUUUUCCCAUUUAAACCUUGUAAGUAAAUUUUAUUGGGAGGUUUAAAUGUGGGUCUAUUAUUUGGGCUUGGAAAUAAUUUUGCUAAUUUGACUUGGAUAUCUGUCUGAGCUACUCAAUUUUCUGAAAUUCAUUAUUGGUUUAUCCAUUUAUGUAAUUUGGUUUAAUUUUACCAUUUUUUUUCUUCUUAGGACAUGGUGGAAGCGAUGGGCUGCAUGCAUAUGUCCCUUCUCUUGAUUAUGCUGUUACUGACCUGGUAUAUUUUGAGGUUUUAUUCAUAAGAUACAGAUGAAAAAGAAACAAGAACCUAUAUUUUGUGUUAAUCUUUCUUAAUUUUUUCACAGAAAACAUUUAUUCAGAAGGUUUUAGCUGAAAAUCCAGGGCUUCCAUGUUUCUGCUUUGGGCAUUCAACAGGUGCUGCCAUUAUCCUAAAGGUGAGUCUUAUUUGGAAUAUGGAUUUCUCAUGGUAUUACAUUCUCUUAUGUUGCUCAGUAUCCGUGGCCUCUUAUUUCUUGUUGCUUGAAUAAUUAAAUACAGGCAGUACUUGACCCGAAGAUUGAAGCCUGCAUAGAAGGUGUAGUGCUGACUUCACCUGCAGUUGGAGUAAAGCCCUCCCAUCCAAUUUUUACUGUAAGAACACUUCUUAAUCACAUUAUCUGCAAAAUAUAAUGGAAAAAGAAAAAAAAAAAAAAAAGGAAAAAGAAGAACACAACUGAUGAACUACCAUACCACUUAGAAAUUGAAUAUGGGUCUGAGGGGUUGAUCACACCUUAUCUCUUUGUUUCUGUGAUGGCAGGUACUGGCCCCAGUUGUCUCCUUUUUUAUUCCAAGAUACCAAUGUCGUGCUGCAAACAAGCAGGGCAUAACCGUCUCUCGGGAUCCAGCAGCACUGCUUGCUAAGUAUUCUGAUCCUCUAGUGUACACAGGAUCCAUCAGGGUUAAGACUGGUUAUGAGAUUCUUCGAAUUUCAACCUACUUGCAGCAGAAUCUGAGCCGAUUGAGAGUUCCCUUUCUUGUUCUUCAUGGUGCUGCUGAUAACGUAACCGACCCAGAAGCCUCUAAAAAACUACACGAAGAAGCCUCCUCAACUGACAAAACAUUCAAGUUGUACGAAGGGUUAUUACAUGAUCUCCUCUUCGAACCAGAACGUGAAGCUAUUACCCAGGACAUAAUUGAGUGGUUGAAUUGUAGAGUAGACGGUUAGGUUGUGUUGGGGAGAAAAACCGCAUUGUCCUCUCUAACUACAUAACCAAAAAGUUUGAAAAAAAAAAAAAAAAACUAUUACGAAAUAAUAAAAUGAACGGUAUUCAAUUUCAUUUGCUUUUCACCUCCUUUUUUUUUUAAUUUAAUUUUUUUCUCUUUGUAUGUUUUUUUUUUUCACUCUUAACAAAUAAUGCAAAUGUUUUUUUGUUAGUGCUUUAAAAACAUUUAUAUUCUUUGUUUUGAUUUUAAAAAUUGUUUUUUGCGAGAGCAAUGUCAUGAAUUUCUGAACUGAGAAUUUUCGUUUAAAAAAGUGAUAAAUUAUUUUUAAAUAAUAGCGUGAAGACUUCAAUAUUAUUUUAAUAAGGGGUGAUCAUUCCGUAACCAAUCUCAGGAUAGAGAUGAAUAAGGUGGGCACAGAAAUACACCAAUCUCAAGAUAAAGAUAAACAAACUAUAUAAAGCAAUAACGAGGCGUACGAGACAAUUUUACAGGGGAGAAUUCUGCAUGAUAGGAAUAAGGGUUUUGCUUUGUAACGUAUCCACUUUUUAUAACCAAUGCAGGGAAAAUGAAUGUAAAAGUGAUAACAAUUAAAAGAAAAAAAUUUACCUAUUAAACCAAAUGAUGGAGGUGUAACCCUAAAAUUUGUCUUAAUUUUAUUUUUACAUUAAUUUUGAACUCAAUUUUAUCAAUAAAUUUCAAAUCCGAUAACAUUUUAUUCUAUUCGUCCAGUCGCUCUUUUUAAAUCUUAAUUUUUAUUAUUUUGUAUACUAUAUUAUAUUAUAUUAUAUUAUAUUAUAUUAUAUUAUAUUAUAUUAUAUUAUAUUAUAUUAUUUCUUGUAUAUGUUUCCACUCGAAUGGCGCAACUUGCUUUUUAUUUUGAAAAAUGUUUUUUUGAAAAAAAUUUGGAGUCACUACUUAUUUUUGUUUUAUUUUUAAAGAGAAAAACAAAAUAAAAAAUAAAAACCCUAAAUGUGACUCCUAAAUGAAAAAACGGGUCUAUGAAAAACUGAGUCUGAGUUUGAAGGGUAGGUUAUCUAUUGGGAAGGUACGGUGAUAGGCUAUAGCACCCCUCUAAGCCCUAAGAAUUAGGUCUCUACUAAUUAAGUUAAAACAAAUGUGACAAUUGAUUGAUUAAACAUGGAUACCAAAAGAAUAUCAAUCUAGAAAUAAUCAAAUGAACAAGAAAGAUAAGGUGUGUACUUGAGUAAUGAGCUGAUUGCUCCAUGGAAAACAAAGGUUAGUAAACAAUUACAAAACAAUCACAUGUGUCACAAAACAAAGCAAGUCAAGCAUAGCAAUCAAUCAACAAAUGAGAAAAUCUCAUAUGUUGGGCCCCACCAAAGACCGAUUUAUUUUAGCAUGAAUUAAAUCCAUAAAUUUCAUCAUUUGAAAUUAUUGAAUUAUUCAUGCUUAUUAAAAAUGUGAAAAUAAAAAAAUUACUAAAAAUUGAGAAUUUGUGAAAGAUGUUUGCCGAAAAGAAAUGUUGCAGCCAAUUUUAUUAUAAAAAAAAAUAUUUAAAAUCAAGGAAAAAAAUAAAGAUGCAUGCCUAGUGGAAAAGGAGAGGAAAAUGGGAUUUAUUUAAAAUAAAGAAAGAAAAAAUGAAGAAUUAAAAUCAUUUGAAACAAGAUUUUUUUUUAAAAACAGUUUUUGAAAGCAUGAAAAUACAGGGGUGAGACACGUGGGCUCUAAAAAUGGACAUAGGAUGGUGGCCAUGCAAACUAAAAUCAUGCAUGCAGGCUCAAGAGAUUUGGUUGGAACUGUUGAUGGCGAACCUAGAGGCUCAACAAUCUGUUGAUCAUCCUUCCCUUUUGCAUCAAGUGCCAAAACAUUAGCAUCCACAAAUUCCCCCACCAGAGGCCAACUUCUCAAUUGCACAAGACCUAUUAUUAUUGAUCUUAGCGUCCUCAACAAGUGAAAUUCUAUUAAGGUUUAGCUCAUUAUCCUUUAUGGAUUUGGAUUCUUCAUGUCCAAGACAUUCCCUUCCAAAAUCCAUCACUCAAUUCUAGGUAAACCCUCGAUUUAAAAUCUUCCCUGGAAUACCCUCACUGCAUAUUUUAGAUCAAGAUCAACUAAUCAUAAUCAUUCCAGCUCAUGACUACAUGAAAUCGAGAAACCAACCAUCUUUUCCUCCAUAAAUGAAGCAAGAUGGGGACAUGAGAAGGGCUAGGAAGAACACGAAAACCGACAUCCACCAUAAAGAUGUAACCUGAAUAUUCCUCUGAUUGCCCAUUGCCACUGUGCAGAACAAAAGAGUAUAAAGGUCACAAGGGUGCAGUUAUUGUUGGGCUUUAUGGAGCCUAGUUUUGUUUGAUCUGGUUUGACGACCCGACCCGAAUAAUAUUGCAUGGUUUUUUAAUGGGAGAUUUAUUGAGGCUUAGUCCAUGGAGUGAAGGCUUGGGCCGAUAGGCCCGUUUAACCCAUUGUGGAACCGCCUUUUGUAAUUAGGGUUUUUUUAGUGUGGUGUGGUUGCUGUGUUUUAUACAGAGAGAAAAUAUUGCAGCCGCAAGUCGUACUAUGUAUUCUUCCCUGAUAAUAGUGAUAUCCCUGCAACUCCGUGGACGUAGGCAAAUUGCCGAACCACGUAAAUACUGUCUUGUGAGUGUGAUUGUUUUUCUUUGGCGUGUGUUUUCUCUAUUUUUGUUUCUCACAGGUUGGGAAUUCGGCUUAAUUCCCUUCAACUGGUAUCAAAGCCUAGGGUUAGGUUUCAGUGGGAACAAUGGUAGAGGAAGUAGGAAAGGCGUCUAUAAUAGAAAAGUUUGAUGGCAUAGACUUUGCAUAUUGGAGGAUGCAGAUUGAAGAUUAUCUCUACGGGAGGAAAUUGCAUCUGCCUCUUUUGGGGACAAAACCUAGGAGUAUGAAGGUUGAGGAAUGGGCGCUUCUUGACAGAUAGGUUCUAGGAGUUAUUAGGUUAACUCUAUCUAGGUCUGUUGCACACAAUGUUGUAAAGGAGAAGACCACAACAGAUCUGAUGAAGGCUUUGUCCGGUAUGUAUGAAAAGUCGUCCGCAAACAAUAAGGUGCAUCUGAUGAAGAAAUUGUUCAAUUUGAAGAUGGCAGAGAAUGCAUUAGUAGCACAACAUCUGAAUGAAUUUAAUACAAUCACAAAUCAAUUGUCGUCUGUAGAAAUUGAUUUUGAUGAUGAGAUUCAUGCUCUGAUCGUCUUGGCUUCUUUGCCAAACAGUUGGGAGGCAAAGAGGAUGGCAGUAAGCAAUUCUACGGGAAAGGAAAAGCUCAAGUACAAUGAUAUACGAGAUUUAAUUCUGGCCAAGGAGAUUCGUUGAAGAGAUGCAGGCAAAACCUCGGGAUCUAAUUUUGCCCUAAACCUUGAGACAAGAGGCAGAGGUAAUGACAGAAAUUCAAAUCGGGGUAGAUCAAAAUCCAGAAAUUCUAAUCGGAACAUAAGCAAAUCUAGAUCAGGCCAACAAGUACAAUGCUGGAACUAUGGGAAAACAGGUCACUUUAGAAGGCAAUGCAAAAUUCCUAAGAAGAAGAAUGAAGAUGAUUCUGCUAAUGCUGUAACAGAAGAGGUACAGGAUGCAUUACUUCUUGCAGUAGACAGUCCACUUGAUGAUUGGGUUUUGGAUUCAGGAGCUUCGUUUCAUACUACUUCACACCGAGAAAUCAUACAAAAUUAUGUUGCAGGUGAUUUUGGUAAGGUGUAUUUGGCUGAUGGUUUAGCCUUGGAUGUUGUGGAUCUGGGAAACGUCCGGAUAUUGUUGCCCAAUGGGUCUAUUUGGUCAUUGGAGAAGGUUCGACAUAUUCCUGACCUGAGGAGGAAUCUGAUUUCUGUUGGACAACUUGAUGAUGAAGGACAUGCAAUACUAUUUGUUGGUGGUACUUGGAAAGUUAUAAAGGGAGCUAGGGUAUUGGUUCGUGGAAAGAAGAUUGGUACUCUGUAUAUGACCUCAUGUCCAAGAGACACAAUUGCAGUUGCUAAUGCAAGUACUGAUACAAGCCUAUGGCACCGCAGACUUGGUCACAUGAGUGAGAAAGGGAUGAAGAUUCUGUUGUCAAAAGGAAAACUACUAGAAUUGAAGUCCAUUGAUUUUUGACAUGUGUGAAAGUUGCAUCUUAGGAAAGCAAAAAAAGAUGAGCUUCUUGAAAACUAGCAGGACACCGAAGGCUGAAAAAUUAGAACUAGUACACACUGAUUUAUGGGGGCCUUCUCCGGUUGCAUCCUUUGGAUGUUCAAGGUACUACAUCACUUUUAUUGAUGACUCAAGCAGAAAGGUAUGGGUUUAUUUUCUGAAAAAUAAAUCUGAUGUAUUUAAAACUUUUAAGAAGUGGAAGGCCAUGGUUGAGACAGAAACAAGUUUGAAAGUAAAAUGUUUGAAGUCAAAUAAUGGAGGAGAAUAUAUAGAUGGAGGGUUCAGUGAGUAUUGUGUUGCACAGGGAAUUAGGAUGGAGAAGACCAUUCCUGGGACACCACAACAGAAUGGUGUGGCUGAGCUCAUGAACAGAACUCUCAAUGAGCGUGCUAGAAGUAUGAGGUUGCAUGUUGGACUACCAAAAACUUUUUGGGCUGAUGCUGUUAGCACUGCAGCUUACCUGAUAAACCGAGGACCAUCAGUUCCCAUGGAGUUUAGACUUCCUAAGAAGGUUUGGAGCGGUAAAGAGGUAAAGUUUUCACAUUUAAAAGUUUUUGGUUGUGUUUCUUAUGUUCAUAUUGAUUCUGAUGCUCGUAGUAAACUUGAUGCAAAGUCUAAAAUAUGUUUUUUCAUUGGCUAUGGUGAUGAGAAAUUUAGCUAUAGGUUUUGGGAUGAACAAAACAGGAAAAUCAUCAGAAGUAGAAAUGUGAUAUUUAAUAAACAGGUUAUGUACAAGGACAGGUCAACUGUAGUGUCAAAUGUUACAGAGAUAAAUCAAAAGAAAUAUGAGUUUGUCAACUUAGAUGAAUUGACUGAAAGUACUAUCCAAAAAUGGGUGAAAAAGAUAAGGAGAAUGUAAAUUCACAGGUAGAUCUGAGUACACCUGUAGUGUCAGAUGUUAUAGAGAUAGAUCAAAAUAAAUCUGAGUUUGUCAACUUAGAUUUGACUAAAAGUACUAUCCAAAAAGAGGUGAAGAAGAUAAGGAGAAUGUAAAUUUAUAGGUAGAUUUGAGUACACCUGUAGUUGAAGUUCGCAGAUUUUCCAGGAAUAUUAGACCUCCACAGCGUUAUUCACCUGUUUUAAAUUAUCUCCUGUUGAUUGAUGGUAGUGAGCCAGAGUGUUAUGAUGAAGCCUUGCAAGAUGAGAAUUCAAGCAAGUGGGAGUUAGCCAUGAAGGAUGAGAUGGAUUCCUUGUUGGGGAAUCAGACAUGGGAACUGACUGAAUUGUCAGUAGGAAAAAAGGCUUUGCACAACAAGUGGGGAUACAGAAUAAAGAAUGAGCAUGAUGGUAGCAAACGUUACAAGGUCAGAUUAGUUGUUAAAAGUUUCAACAGAAGGAGCCGCAUUGACUACACAGAGAUAUUUUCUCUAGUUGUGAAGAUGUCAACAAUCAGAGCCGCAUUGACUACACAGAGAUAUUUUCUCUAGUUGUGAAGAUGUCAACAAUCAGACUUGUACUGGGAAUGGUGGCUACAGAAAACUUACAUCUUGAGCAGUUAGAUGUGAAGACAUCAUUCCUUCAUGGUGACUUGGAGGAAGACCUUUACAUGAUUCAGCCAGAAGGGUUCAUUGUUCAGGGACAAGAGAAUCUAGUCUACAAACUAAGAAAGAGCUUGCAUGGCUUUAAACAAGCUCCUAGACAGUGGUACAAGAAGUUUGAUAGUUUUAUGCAUAGAAUUGGGUUCAAGAGAUGUGAAGCUGAUCACUGUUGUUAUGUUAAGUCUUUUGACAAUUCUUACAUCAUAUUACUGUUGUAUGUGGAUGAUAUGCUUAUUGCAGGGUCUAGCAUUGAGAAGAUUAAUAAUCUGAAGAAACAAUUGUCCAAACAAUUUGUAAUGAAGGAUUUGGGAGCUGUAAAGCAAAUCGUUGGUAUGAGAAUCAUUAGAGACAAGGCUAAUGGUACAUUGAAGCUUUCACAGUCAGAGUAUGUGAAGAAAGUUCUCAACAGGUUCAACAUGCAUGAAGCUAAACCAGUGAGCACACCCUUGGGUAAUCAUUUCAAACUAAGCAAAGAACAAUCACUGAAGACAGAAGAAAAAAGGGACCAUAUGAGCAAGGUGCCCUAUGCCUUAGCUAUUGGCAGCUUGAUAUAUGCUAUGGUGUGUACAAGGCCAGACAUUGCACAUGUAGUGGGAGUUGUGAGCAAAUUCAUGAGUAGGCCUGGAAAGCAACAUUGGAAGGCAGUCGAGUGGAUUCUAAGAUAUUUGAAGGGUUCAUUAGAUACAAGUCUUUGCUUCAUAGGUGCAAGUUUGAAACUGCAGGGUUAUGUAGAUGUUGAUUUUGUCGGUGAUAUUGAUAGUAGAAAGAGUACUACUGGGUUUGUUUGUACUCUAGGUGGUACAACUAUAUCAUGGGCUUCAAAUCUACAGAAGAUUGUUACUUUAUCUACUACAGAAGCUAAGUAUGUUGCAGCAAUUGAAGUUGGAAAGGAGAUGAUUUGGCUACAUGGUUUCUUAGAUGAAUUUGGUAAGAAGCAGGAGAUGGGCAUUCUACAAAAUGACAAUCAGAGUGCAAUUUUUCUUGCCAAAAAUUCGGCUUUUCAUUCAAAAUCAAAGCAUAUACAAACAAAAUACCACUUUAUCUGUUACCUUGUUGAAGAUAAACUGGUAAUACUUGAGAAGAUUUGUGGAUCUAAGAACCCGACAGACAUGUUGACUAAGGGAGUCACUAUUGAGAAGUUGAAGUUGUGCGCAACUUCAAUUGAUCUUCUAGCUUGAUGACAAGAGGAUGAGUUGUAGGGAUGAGGGAUUGUUUCUUGGAGGAUAGCGGUUUGAUGUUGGUGAUUGAACUAGUCUCCAAGUGGGAGAUUUGUUGGGCGUUGUGGAGCCUAGUUUUGUUUGAUCCGAUUUGACAACCCAACCCGAAUAAUAUUGCAUGGUUUUUUAAUGGGAGAUUUACUGAGGCUUAGUCCAUGGAGCGAAGGCUUGGGCCAAUAGGCUUGUUUAGCCCAUUGUGGAACCGCCUUUUGUAAUUAGGGUUUUUUAGUGUGGUGUGGUUGCUGUGUUUUAUACAGAGAGAAAAUAUUGCAGCCGUAAGUCGUACUCUGUAUUCUUCCUUGAUAAUAGUGAUAUCCCUGCAACUCCGUGGACGUAGGCAAAUUGCCGAACCACGUAAAUACUGUCUUGUGCGUGUGAUUGUUUUUCAUUGAUGUGUGUUUUCUCUAUUUUUGUUUCUCACAGGUUGGGAAUUCAGCUUAAUUCCCCUCAGUUAUGUCAAUUUCUAUUGAAGCAUCAGGACAAUGGAUUGCUUCUAGUUUAAUUGAUGGAUCUGUACAUGUUUGGGAGGUUGAAACUAGUAGAUGCCUUCGAGUCUGGGAGGUUGGUGAAGCUGUCCAUUAUGUGGCAUGGAAUCCUUUGCUCGAGCUUCAUAUUUUGGUAGUCUCCACGGGACAAGAUGUGCUUCUUUUGAACACUGGAUUGAGGAAAGAUGAAGAACAAAAAAAUAUUGAAUAACUUCUUCGCAUUGAGACACCUGGUUCAAUGGAUGACUCUAGCAGCACCACAUCCAUUGUGAGCUAGGUUCAAGAUGAUAAGCAUGGUGGAAUUAGGCUAAAGCAUUUUAAGAUUGUUUCCUCAGUAGAAUGGCACCGCAAAGGAGACUACUUAUCAAUAGUAAUGCUAGCUGGUGAAUCUAGAGCAAUACUUAUUCAUCAACUCGCGAAGAAGCUUACCUAAAGAAUUCCAUUCAAGUUGCAUGGCCACCUUAGUGUGCACACAACCAGUUCUUGCCCAUCUCCAACUUUGGUACCAUCGGCAUGACACAACAUCUUGUAGCGUCUAUCCCUCAUACUCUAUUGGGAUUCAAAAACAGCAUGCUACCAAUGCUUGUGAUGCCCCAAGCCUAGAACUCCACUAUUGUGUGGUUUGCAUGGCCACUCUCCUAUGUUCAUUUUCAAAGCCCAUGUGCCUCAUCCCUAUAUUUUCAUGCAUGCUUUCAAAAAUUGUUUUUCAAAAAAAUCUUGUUUUCAAAUGAUUUUAAUUCUUCAAAUUUUCUUUCUUGAUUUUAAAUAAAUCCCAUUUUAAUAAAUCAAUUGCUCCCAUUUUCCAUUAGGCAUGCAUCUUUCCUUUUUUUCAUUGAUUUUAAAUAUUUUUUUUUAUUUAUAAAAUUGGCUGCAACAUUUCUUUUAGGCAAACAUCUUUCACAAAUUCUUUAUUUUUAGUAAUUUUCUAGUUUUCACAUUUUUAAUAAGCAUGGAUAAUUCUAUAAUUUCAAAUGAUGAAAUUUAUGGAUUUAAUUCAUGCUAAAAUAAAUUGGGCUUUGGUGGGGCCCAACAUAAGAGAUUUUCUCAUUCGUUGAUUGAUUAAUAUGCUUGAUUUGCUUUGUUUCGUGACACAUGUGAUUAUUUUGUAUUCGUUUACUAACCUUUGUUUUUCAUGAAGCAAUUAGCUCAUUACUCAGGUACACACUUUGUCUUUCUUGUUCAUUUGAUUAUUUUUAGAUUGAUAUUUUCUUUUGAUAUCCAUAUUUAAUCAAUCAAUUGUCACAUUCGUUUAACUUAAUUAGUAGAGACCUAAUUCUUAGGGCUUAGAGGGGUGGUAUGGUCUAUCACCGUACCUUCCCAAUAGGUAACCCGACCCUCGGACUCAAACUCGAUUUUUCAUAGACCCGUUUUUUCAUUUAGGGUUUUUAUUUCUUAUUUUGUUUUUCUCUUUAAAAGUAAAACAAAAAUAAGUGGUGAUUCCAAAAAAAUUUCAAAAAAACAUUUUUCAAAAUAAAAAGCCCCAUUCGAGUGAAAACAUAUGCAAGAAAUGCGAGGUCCAUAAUAUUAUAUAUAUAUAUAUAAAAGUAUCUAUCAAAGCAAUUUUCACAUAAAGGAAUAGGUACAAGACCUUCUUGAAGGCAAUUUUCAGUUGCUCCUGAAUCAAUCAAAGCAAUAAUAUCAAGGACAAAUUUAUCUUUGACUACUAUAGUAAGGGAGACUUCCCACCUCUGGAAGAUAACCCUACUCACAGUAUUCAAAAAAGUAUAUGUCUCAUUAUCAUUAAUAUGAGAAGAUUCUGGAAUAUCCAUGUGGUUUUCUUGGUUGACAAUUCUAUUGAUUUGAUCUUGGAGAUCAGAGAGACCUAAACUUAUGAAUUGUCUUAACUCCUUAAUCUCCUUUUUAUACUGCUUAACUUCUUCAUGAAGUUCCUUAAUGCUGACUUCCUUGGGAGACUGUUGGUCAAACCUGUUUAAGAUAUCAUUAAGGUUAUAAGGAUUAACAGUCUUCUUGGCUUCUACCUUAACAACAGAUUUUUUAAAAACUUCAUAAAGAUUUUGCUUAGUCUUUUCAUCUUCAACUUUUCUUAAAGUAUCUAGGAUAAAUUCCUGAUCUUAGCUUAUGACAUUUAUAGUUUUAGGACGACAAUUACAAUUACCUUUAAUACAUUCUGCUUGGUCACUAGAAGAUUGGCUAGAAACUUCACCACUACUGUCUAGUUGAUUAAUGUCAUCUUCAUUAUCUGAAUCAGUCCUUGAUUCAGAAUCUGUGGAGUUUAACAUUACUUUACAAAGCAUAUUUUUUAGGUCAUCUGAGACACUUAAGUUAUUAAUCUUUUGCUUAACUCUACAAUCUUUUUUAUAAUGGCCAAUUUUGCCACAUUUAAAACAGAUAAUUGGCUUGACAUCUAAAGGAGGUUCUACCUUUUUCUGGGUAUCUUUGUUAACCCUUCUUUGGACAUGCCUUGACUGCUUAGUAUCAUUCAUCCUAUAGUUGUCAUAGGUACCUCUCUUACUGUGGUAAAACUUAUCUUUGCUAGGCUUCCUGCUUGGUUUUUGCUUAGAGGGAGGCAUAGUUUCCUUUUGGCUGAAACCAAACUGGCUACAGAAUGAUCCAAAUUCAUUCUUGUAGAUUUUUUGUUCAUUCUUCAUUUGUUGCUUAAGCUUGAAGUCAUUGCACAACUUAAUCCCUUCAGCUGUGACAAUGCUUAUAAUCUCACCAUAGGUUAGCUUAUCAUAAGGGAUUUGACCAUUAUACUGUUCCCUUAUCUUGAUCCUAAUUCUCUUAGAGAAAAGCUUGGGUAAUUUUGAGAUGAAUUUUUCUUUCCAAAAAGACUGGUUACAAUCUGACCUUAGCAUGACUUUGGUUAGGAAGACUUCCUUAUACCACCUAAAAUCAUGAAGCUUGGGACACUUAAGGUUAGUUAAAAGAUCUGCAGUUUUAUCUUUAAUUUUUGCAAGAUCUCCAACGAAGUGCUUGGAUAUUUAGUAGAUUAGAGUAGCCACUACAUCCUCUAUAUCUUGGCCAUCUUCGUUCUUAACAACUUCACUAUUCUCAUUAAUCUUAUAGGCUUUUAGGAUACUAUUUCUAUCAUCAAAAGUGAGAUAAUUAUCCCACCAACCCUUAAGCUGACCUGUAAACCCAGCAACAAUGGUCUGAGCUACAGCAUGAUCUGGCAGUCUAUUGUUUAAUUUAUAGGUUGUACUUACCAUGGUCAUUUCUUGAAGCUUAGUGAGUAUGUUAUACUCGGUCAUACCGUCUAUGUUCCAUUCAUAGAUAGUACCACUAGUGUAUGAGGCUUGAGUAUACUGAUUUCUUUCCUCAAACUGCAUGUCAGGAAAAGUAGGCCUAGGAUAGUAAUUCCUAGUCUUAAAGGCUUCCAAGUUGUUAAUAUCUUUUGAAAUAAUUUUAUUAUGGGGUUCCUCAAACAUCUUAAUUAGUUCAUCAACUUCUUCUUCUGAACUAAUAUCACCCUUAACCAUAUUGAUUCUCUUAUGAGGCUGGACAGUCAAAGGGGCAACAAAAUUAUUUUUAAUCUUCUGAUUAAUCCUAUCAACAAAAGCCUGGUUGAUUUGGGGAUUUUCUUGGAAUUCCUUAGAAAAUUUAAAGGACUCAGUGCUCUUAGUGUUAUUAACACGCUUAUAAGGAUAAUCUGGAUAAUCCUCUUGUUUGAAGAGUUCAAACCAAAUCCAAAACUUAAUAUUUUUCUUUUCUUGUCCUAAGUAGGCAUAGAAUUCUUCUUGGUAAAUGGUUCUAAUCACCUUAGGGACAGUGCUAAAGAACCAAUCAUUUCUUUGCUUAUUGUCUUCAGAAUAGAAGUCCUUUCUUAAGAGAUCUUUGUUGAUCUCAAAGUCCUCAUCACUUAGGCUUAUUGUGUUAAUCAUCUGGGAAUAGGUAGGAGACAUUACAAGGGACUCAUCCUGUUGGGAUUCCUGAGUAGACUCAUUUUCCUCAGAGUAAUAUGGUCUAGCCACAUUGGUGUGACUUCUAACACCUGUUAGCUUAAUGUUCUUAGGAUUUCCUGAGCUGGAUCCUUCUUCUUCCCUAGUGGUUCUAACUAGGAUGGAAGAGCUUGAAGCUCUAGAGGGUUCAUAAACAGAAACUCUAGGGCUGCUAGUAUGUCUGAAAGAGUUGGAGAAAACCAGUUCUCCUCCUCCAUCAGGAUAUUGAACAAUUUGUUCAAUACUUUAAGAACGCUGUGCAAUGGCAGGAACAACAUUAGCAAAAUGCCAAUUUUUAGGAAACUCAACAUUUUUCCACAAGAUCUUCUUGGGGAUGAUGAAAUCUGAUUUAUCUAGCAUAUCUGAGUAAAAGUAAGUGGUCUCACCUUUAGGAUUGGUGCAAAGAGCCCUAGAUCCAACGCUUGUGUUCAUGCUCUUAUAGGCAAACCUGGUUAUGAUUGAAACAGGACUAUUUCCUGGUUUGAUCUUAAAGCCAUGGGUUUUAAUAUGCAGGACAACGGAAUCUAAGAUGUCUACAUCUCUUAUUCUAACUGUGAAGUUAGGAUAGCACUGGAAAUAAACUGGGCCAUCAUUCAGUCCAGCUUGGACUGCGCCUAUAAUAGAAUCUCGAUAUUCGAGAUGCCUAUUAUCCCUUAAACACAUGACAAUAGAGGUGUUUAAACCUAAUCUUGUGAAAGGCUUAGCAGCUACUUGAAUCAUACCAAAGUGUAUGAAAUUAGAGCCAUCUUUCUUAUGCUUUUCAAUGGAUCUGUUAUCUAGAAGUCUUAUGACUUGGUCGUCUUGUUCUAAGUUGACUGACAUUUCAGAGGUCUUGAUGGUAUAAUCUGUGAAGAACUUAAAGGUUCCUUUCUUAUAAAUUUCUUGACUAGACACCUUGGGUAACUUCCAAUCAUCUAAAUCAUUUUGGAUUUUAGGAUAAUUGAUAUCUUCACUGUUUACAACAGUAUCUUGAGAAUCACUGGAUCUCCUAGACAUGAUUCUAAAAAUUGAACUCAUUUUAGGGUUUUGAACUAGAGCCUAAUAGCAGAUUGACAAACCUUAUGAGACGUCACCCCAACCCUCUUACAGCCUAACAAACGCCUAUCCACGGCUAACAACUGCUCAACCGACAGGGCUCGCGCUCCUAGGCACACUGCUACCUAUCCUAGGAUAGGCCAAAACACCCAAAACAAGACCCAACUUCCCUUCCCGAUGGCUCUGAUACCAUAGACACCCGGGACAAGGUCAUAUGUAAUGAAAACAGGAAUUAUGUCAUGAUUCAAAACAAAGAAGAGGGUUAGAAAAUACAAAAGAUAUCCAACAAGAAAUUUAAAGAGAAGGGACCAAAAAACUUGUUAGUUCAUGAUAAGCUUAAAACCGACCAUGUAGGCGGUACAAAAUAAAAACAUAAAAUUAAAAUCAAAGCUUAAUUAAAACCAUCCAUGUAGGAGGUAUAAGAACAUAAAAUGAAAUGAAAACAAAACUUAAUUAAAAACCAUCCAUAUAGGAGGUAAUCAAAACAUACUUAUAUUAUACAUAAGGAGAAAUAUCUUACAAUGGACAAUGGUAGGAAAGCUUGGAGAAAGCUUGAAAACUUGAAGGGGUUACAUGAUGAGAAAGAAAGAAGAGAGAAGGGAGAGCAUAAGCUUGGGAGAGAAAAUUAAGCGUGCUUACAAAUGAGGACCGAGCCUCCUUAAAUAGGCAAAAAAGGAAUCUUGAAUAGAAUAAUGAAUAGUAAACCCGUGCUUGAAUAGUGCUUGAAUAGUAAAAGGGAACUGUAACACUUUUGACUUUUUGACCUGAAAUCUUGCUUUCGGCUGAAAACACUGCUUGGUGGCCAACCCCAUUUUUUUCCUGAUUUUCUCUAUCUUCUUCCACUUCCUUUUCCCCACAAAACGCUUUUUCUUCCCACACACUACCACACCCAAACUGAAGAAAAAACACCACUCCCACACACACAAUCCUUCCUUUCUCUUCCCCCUCUUCUCCCAUCUUCCUCUCAUUUUUUUUACUCUUCAUUAUAUUUUCUUCAUUAGAUUUUAUUUUUUAUUUUUCCCAAAAACCCAUCACCCCUCACCACCGCCGGCAAGACCACCGGCCAGUUGCUGUCGGCGGGCUACUGCCGAGCGACUCUCUUUUCUCCUCUCUCAUUUUCCCAUUUCCCUAACUUUCUGUCACUUUCUCAUCUCACCCCUUUAGUUUUACUUUAUUUUUUCUUUCAUUUUAUUCUCAUUUUCCGUUCUCCAUUCCCAACCAUCACCAUUGCCACUUUUUCAUCCUUUCAAAAUUUGAAAUUAUGUAAGUUUUUUCUUCUUUUUUCCUUUGAUUUUAAUAGUAAUUGUUGUUGAAAUUGAGCUUGUUUUAUUUGUGGGUUUAUAUUUGGGCUUUGAGAUUUGGGUAUGCAUAUUGGAUAUCUAGUUAGCCUUAAUUAAAUUUAUUGGUUUUUUUUUAAUUACAUGUGGGCUCAAUAUAUUAAAUUUUAUUUGAUUUUAAUUGUGGAUAUAUGUUUAUGUAUUAAAUUAGGCUUGAAAUAUGAAAUAUUAAAUUUAGGCCUAACUGAAUUUAUUUUGAUUUGUCAUAUUUUGGACUUUGGUGAAUUAAUAUGAAAUUUGGACUUUGUUAAUUAAUAUGAAAUUUGAGUUAAUUUUUUAUUGGUCAAUUAAUAUAAAAUUUGGGCUAAUUUGUUGUUAGUAAAUUAAUAUAAAAUUUAGGCUAAUUUAUUAUUGGUGAAUUAAUUUGAAAUUUACUAAUUUUGACUAAAGUAGUUGAUAAUUUAUAUGAUUGUGCUUAUUUUAAUUAUUUAAAUUGGCACGAGACAAUUGUGAUAUAUUUUGAAUGUGGGUUUUCAUAUUGAAUUAGCCUUGAUUUUGGUUAUGGGUUUGAGUUUGUAUAUUAAAUUAGAUUUGGAUUAUGAAAUAUUAAAUUUAGACCUAAUGUAAUUUGUUUUGAUUUGUAAUAUUUUAGACUUAUUUGAUUAUGUUUAUUUAUUGACCAUUAAUAUGAAAUUUUGGACUAGGGCUUAUAGUAAGUGAGAUAUUUUUGUUAAUUUAGGUUCAUUUUAAUUGAUGAAAUUUAUUGGACUAAAUUGAAGUUUGUACACUAGAAGGAUAUUUACUUUUAAGCUAUUUUUGUUUUUGCAUUGGCUCAUUUUGCAAUUCUGUUGGUUGAAUACAAAUUUAUGACACGUGGAACAUGGAAUUUCAUGGAAGAAAGUGAGCCUUGUAAAGCUACACAUGAAGACAUCGAACUUAUUGUAACCUUGUAAACUUGUUUGGGUACACGUUUUAUUUCACACUACUAUUUGAUUUUAUUUUUAUCGGUUUCUAUAAAUAUUUGUUUGUAUAUAUUUACUUGUGUACAUAAUUGAAUAAACAAAUCAGAAAUUUUGUUUAAAAAGAGGAACAAUUCAAUAAAUAUGUUUUAAUAAAAUAAUAGUUUUAAAAUAUUCUUCUUAAUAAAAGAAAAUUUUUUAUUAAUAAAAAUUUAGAAAAAUGCUUUUAGAAAAUCCAAAAAAAAAUUGUUUUUAAUAGAAUUUGAAAAAAUAUUUUUAAUAAUAAUUGUCCAAAAUUUUCUUUGUUUGAUAAAAAUUGUUCAAAAAAUUGUUUAUUUUUUAAUAAAAUUGUCCCAAAGGUUAAUGCGAAACCAAGGUUUGGUUAAUCUUGAUUUUGAUGAUAACAAAACAAGGUUUAGAACUAAUGAUCAUAUUUUAAGUGUGAUUAGGCAAGACGAUUUCUAAAGUGGCAAUCACAAAGACAAAUCAAGCCAAGGAGAAAUCAUGAAGAAGAAGACCACCUCAAAGAGAAGAGUUUUUUCAAGACCAAAGCUUCAUAAGAUCUCUUUGUAAGGUUGUUGGUGCACUAGGACUUUCAUGCAUUUCAUUCUUUAUUUAUGCAUCAAAAUCAUCCAAGAGUAAUAUUGUUUUAAAUGUCUUAAGAAUUUGAUGAUUUCAUGUUUUCAACUAAAACCUCGUGUUAAAUGAUUUUCAAACUUGUGUUAAAAGGUUUUAAGUUGAAAGAGAUUGGGUGUUGAGCCAAAAAAUGGCUCAACCGGUCGACCGGUUGUGCUCAUCCGGUCGAGGACCGGUUGAGGGAGGCAAAAAAGUUUCUCUCUCUCCCAGUGGCCUUCUUUUCCCAGUCAAGGUUGAACCUCAACCAGUUGAGGUCCGGUUAAGGUCCGGUUGAGGUUCGGUUGAGGCCCAACGGUCACUUUCCAAGCAUUAAAUGUUAACGGCUAGUCAACCGGUCGACCCCUAGCUCGACCGGUUGAACCCCCAACGGCUAUUUGACUUUUUUCUUCUAUAAAAAGGCUCCAAUCUUCAUUGUUUCACAAGUUUAACCUUCCCAAAUCAUUCUUGAUUAUAUUUGAGCCUUGAAAGAGUGUUUUUGAGUUGUUUCAUAACUUGCAUAUCUUUAGUGCACCAUUCAAUCCUAGUUUUUCUUAUAUCUUUGAGCCUAAAGUUCUAUUACUAGGAUUUUUUUGAGAUCAUUAUUUGUAUAUCUUUGUGAGGAAUUUUCUCAAGUAAGGGGUAUCACUUGAGAGGUUGUUCAAGAAAGGGAUAUCUCUUGAAGAAGUGUAAAGGGUGCUUGGAGCCAAAAGUCCAAGAUGGUGAAUUGGAACCAUAAUCCAAUUGUAAAGAGAUUGGAAGCUUGGUUGAAGUUUCAAGAUAGUGGAACCCUCACUCGAUUAGGAGGUUGAGGAGAGUGGACGUAGGCAAAGAAGUGUCGAACCACUAUAAACUCUCGUGUUUGCACUUUCUCUUCCCUAACUCUUUUAAAUUAUAUGCAAUUGUCUUUAUUUUGUUUAUUAUAUACUUGCAUAUAAUUGUCUCUUAUUUUUGCAUAGUUUAAAUUUGAAGAAAAAGAGACCAUCACCCUAUUUACCCCUCUCAUCUCUAGGGUGAUUAUCAUAAUUUGGAUUAGUCUCAAAUUCCUAACAGUUAAUUUUUAAUAAAAUUGUUCAAAAAAAAAAAAUGUUUUUCUAAAUAAAUUUCCCCCUUUAUUUAGAUAGGAUUAAAAGUAAUUUUUAUGGAUAAGAGUCUUAAAUAAUUUUUUAAUAAGAAUGGAAUUUGCAAAUUGAAGUUGUAGAAAUUUUUUUUUAAAUAAAAUUGGGUUGAAAAUAUUUUCGUAAACAAAGUUUGUAAAGAAAUUAAUUCAUUUUUUAAAUUAAGUUGUAAGAAUUCAUUCUUUUUUUAAUAAAAGCAAAUAAAAAUAAUUUUUGUUUCCAACUUGAAACUUUGUAUUAAAUUGUUUUGAUAAAAUAAGUGUACAUAACUUUGUUGAAAAGAAAAAUUGAAAACAAAUAAAGUUGAAUCAAAUCAUUUAUUGGAAAUAAAUUGAAACUUUCUUGUUCAUAAAUAAAUUGAAGUCACUAAUUCAAAAUUGUUUUUAAUAAAAUCCUUUAAGAUCUCUUAAAAACUAUUUUUUUGAAAUAUCUUUUUUGUAAUUAUUUCAAUAAAUCAAUUUACAUAAUCCUCUUGUCAUUUAUUUUGUGUAUUUCUCGUAAUUAGAUUUUAUCAUUAUUUUUGUGUAUAUUGAUUUUCAUCAUGACUUGUACAUACUUAUUUAUGUGAUUAUUUUUCUUGGUAUCUAUAAUUAAUCAAUUAAUUAAUUACCAUAAUUUCUUUAAUUCGUUUAGUAGAAACUAAACAUAUACGAGUUUAGAGGGGUGUUACGACUCAUUACUGUACCUUCCCAAUAGGUAACUCGAUCCUCAAAUUCAGACUUGGUUUUUACAAACAUGUCUUUUCCAAAUAAGAAGUCAUAUAAGGUUUUAUUUCUUAUUUUGUUUUCCCUUUAAAAAAUAAAACAAAAAUAAGUGAUGAUUCUAAAUCUUUUUCUAAAAAUCAAAUUUUCACAAAUUAAUAAAAAGCGAGUCUCGCCAUUCAAAUGGGGACUCACGUGAAAAACGUGGUUCCACAAGAGGGUUAGAAUCUUAUGAAUUAUACAUUUUAAUGCUUGUUACAAUUGAUUUUUUUUGUUUUUAUUGAUUAUGAAUUAAAAUUUAAUGUUGUUUAUCUAAUCAUACCAAAUAAAUAAUUUAUAACAACCAAAUAUAAAAUAUAUUAAUUUAUUAACCUAUAUUUUCACCUACUAAUGAACAUUACUGAAAAUCACUAAACAAUAGAAAAUUUAGGUGGAACAUUUGGAUUUAUAUAAUCACAAAGCUUUUUAUAUCUUCAUUUCAUCUUGAAAAACUUAGUAUCUUUCCAAGUACCAAUAAGGAAAAACUCAAAUAGAUAACAAUAGAAUACAUUUUUUCAAAUGAUACAUGCUCAUGAUAAAAUAACUUAAAACGCAAUAAACAAUAAGAAACAUCACUUUAUUUGUUAGAGUUGAACUUUUGGAAGUUACACAUAAAGAAAAAGAGAAGAUAAGUUCACCAUAAUUCAUCUUAUUUAUUGAAGCAGUGUUUUCAAGAGUGUGUAGGAAAGAAUGCUGAACAACAAGCUUUAUUAUUAAGCAUAACAAGACACCCAAUAUAAAUAAUACAAAACGUACUUUAAAAUUACUCUCAUAAUCUAUAUCCUCUUUAAUUUGAUUUUCUAAUAUAAUUAAUGACAACUAUCUUUUUUUAUCAUGAUAUUUAUUAUAUAAAUCAUUUAUAUUAUAAGCUUAAAAUAAAUUCUACAUUUAUUGGGCACAAUUUCAUAAAGUGUUAUUUAUACACUUCUAAUACAUAAGAGUAUGAAUUUAAUUUAUUUACCAAACAAAGACAAUAUAAUCAAUUUUAGUACAUCGAACUUGUAAAAAACUUCCAAAUCCAAUUUUUUUAGUUGUUGCUUUUUUGUUUCAGUUGUAAGCCUUGAAGAAUUCUAGACACUCAAUCAAGCAAACAACAUGUAUAAAAUACAACUAAAAAGAUAUAUGGACAUAUUUAAACAAAUAUUCAACUAAUGUAAUUAUUUUUUUAUUAAAAUACUUUUACCUUAAAUUUAUUCUCUGGACUCAUUCUUUUAAGUGAAUAAUCUUUCCUUCCACUUUAUCAUAAAACAUUUUUUCAACUAAUGCAAUUAUUUCUUGAUUAAAAUACUUUAAAUUUAUUCUUUGGACUUAUUCUUGAAUAAUCUUUCCUUCGACUUUAUCAUAAAGCAUUUUUUUUCUUCUUUUGGAAGUAUGUACCACUUUUUGGUUAAAUUUUUCUCAUGUAUAUUUAUUUUCUAGUAAGUAGAAAUUCAAAUUUAGAAAAUAAUUAUGUUAGGCAAACAAAAACAUUUUUCUUUACAUUAUCAUUUAUUUUCACCUUUUUAUUAUUUUCUUUUAGCAUGACUAAUUGUGCAUUGUUAUACAAUAAUUGUAAACAAAUAUAAGUAUAAUAAGAACAAGAGAAUACAAAUAACUACUAAUUUUGAGUCACCUAUCCAAAUAACCCUUUCAUCAAUCACGGUAAUAAAAUAAAUAAAUAAAUUGAAUUAUGACUACAAAAAAAUAAUAUUAAAAUAGUAGUUAUUUGGAUAAGUAAGUUAAGCCUGCAAAGUUGUCAAUUAACAUGUUAAAUUGUACUCAACUAUCUUUGAGGUUUAUAUAUAAAGAACUUAAUACUAGUUACGUCCAGUUUUUACAUAUUAAAUACAAGCUUUACUUUUUUUUUUUCAUACAAAUCUUUUUAACAAAAAAUUUCACUCAUAUUUACUCUAAAAUUUUCAUUCUUUUCCUUACAACCAAAUAAUGUCGAGAAUAGCAAAACUAAGGUAAUUUUUUUUUUCCCAAAUGGGUUUACAUACCUUCAUCUGACCUCACCAUAUGUUUCUCUUUAAUCUUUUCUACUUCUCUUAUCUCAGUUUUAACGGUGGGUUGCAAUAAUGGUGUAUAGAGACGUACUCACAAUGUUGGUGAGAGAUAUGUAGAUGGAUGUAUUAUUGAUGAGAAGGUAAAACUAAAAUGUUCUGCUAUUGGAGAGAUAUCAUAUCUUUGAUGGAGGAUCUUACUCUUAUUUGUUUUUCUACUCUUUUAUGCUUCUCUUAGCUCAGUUUUAUUGGUGGGUUACAAAAAUGGUGUAUAGAGAUGUACUCAUAGUGUAGGUGAGAAAGAUGUAGUAACAAUAAGAGAUGUAAAAUUAAAGUUUUCUACUUUCGGAGGGAUAUCAUGUCUUUGGUGGGAGAUCUUAUGUAUUUUUGGAGGAAAAUAGAUAAGGGUAAAAAUGUCCAAAUUAGGUCAUCUAUCAAAACAAUUAACCAGUGAGAUUAUUUUUAUAAUUUUACCUUUAUUUUGAGUCACCUAUCCAAAUAACCCUUUAUAAAAUUCAAAUUUGUCUUACUAAAAAUGUAUCCAUGAUCCUAUAGGUCUUUUAAGAUUUGAAGGAAGUUUGGUACAACCAUGCUUGCUCCUAAAAAAUAAAUCAUGUUAUACUAAUUUUAUAACAUGAUUUCAGAUAAUAGAUAAUAAAAUUUCCAUUUUCUUUUACAAUACAUUUAAAAUAAUAAAUAAGAAGUUAAAUAAUACUUACAUUAUUUUUUUUGAGGAGACUAUUAGAAUUUGAGAUGGACUCUAAAAGGGUUAAAAUCUAAGUUUUUUUUUAUAUAUUUGAUAAUCGUGGAUGUUCGGGCCAGCUUACGCGCACCUCGACUAAUCCAUAGAGCUUUGAAGUUAAUGAUCGGAUAAACCUCUAGUGACCCUGAGAGAACUCGAACCAAUGAUCAUUGGGGAGCAAACCCAAGACCGGACCAACUGAGCUACCCUUAGGGUUAGAAUCUAAGUUAAGAUAUAUACUUAAACACAAAAGAAAAAUAUCAAUAUAUACAUAUAUAUAUAUAUUGUUCCAUUUUCACGGGAAUAACCAAUGAUAAUAAAACCAACCUAAACAUUCAAAGCUCUAUUUUUAUUUUUCUCGGCUACCCUCCUUGUUUACAAUCCCAUAUUACUUCGCCACUCCACUCAACAACCAUACCUAGCAUUAAUCCUUACCUGCAUUUGUUACUCUAAAAGGUUUUGAAAUAUAAAACCAGUAAUAUAAAGAAAAAUAUUCUCUCAUGAAACAAAAUAGUUUUAAAAACACAAAAUAAUGACAAAAAAAAAAAACCUGCACUAAAAGCACCUCCCUACAUAGAUCGUGGGAAGACAAAAUCUUGGGACCCAAAAUGGGUGAGAUGAAAUGGGUAAAUGUGGGAAGCCGACCGUGCCACUUCGGGUGCUGAAAUGGGCGAAAUCCUUUCACCGACUUUCUUUCAAGAGCUCAAAGAAUCGUGGUUGAAGAACAACAAAAAAGAUUCAAGAGGGAACGAAGAAGAGAAGAGGGAAAUGAAAGAGUCUAGGUAGAAGAAGAUAAGUGAGAACAGACAUUGCAACGCCCGUAGAGGAGGGCGAAUCUCUCAAAACAAAUUGGUUAUCAAUUAAGGCCACUAGAUCUUCUUAGAUACAAUACAGUGGAUAAAGCACACUGGAUUUGGAAAGAAAGCCGACUCACACACUCACAUCUGAACGCGGCGAAAGAGGAGAACGUCAGAUGAGGGGUGUCCAACUCACAAAAUGACACGUGUCACCAUGCAGAACCAGGAAGCCAAGACUUUUUUCCAGCAUUCAAUGACGCCAAAUCGCCGCCGCGUACACCCCUGAAAGCUUCCCACCACUUGUCACAUCUUCAACCGUCCAUUUCAUUCCCUCUCCUGUCUCGUGACACCCUUACCACGCCAUCCUUUGUAAUAAAUCAGAGGAGCUACAUAACAACAAACAGUACAAUUUUUUCCUUUUUCCCCUUUUAUAUAUGUUAAAUCCUAAUUAUAUUAGUAUUAUUAUUAUUAUUACCCAGAACUCAUACGAAGAACAAAUUCAUACAAAGAAGACGAGGAGCAGCCUUAAUUCAGUCGAUAUUCCUUUUGUUAGUUUUUCUCUACGGGGAAUAAAGGGAAGGGAAAGAAGAAGAUAUUGGGAUUGAAGGUGUAUUUUUUUUUUUUUUAAUUUAAAAAAUGGCGAGGGUCGCCGACGCAUCGGCUUCGAUAAUGUUGACAUCGGGCGCUAGCGGCCUGAUAAGCGCCGUGCUGUCGGUAAGGGCGUUGAGGAGUUUGGUGGUGCUGGUGAGGGCGUUGGUGCUUUUACUGUUGGUGCCGUUCCGAGGGAGGCGAGGAUCAGUGGACAGGCCCAAGGAUGACAAGCAUGAGGUUACGCAUGCUUCUAUUCGGAAGGUUCCAGUGGUGAGGGUUCCCGCGACGGUUCCGUGGAGGUGCGGUGCGGCGGUGGCGGUGGACCAGGAUGUGGCGGCGAGGAGAGCCCUGGCGAUUGGUAGGGUGGUUCAGGAAGGUGGCGGUGGUGAGAAGUCAGUCAGGGAGUUUUCGCUGUUGACAACUUUGAGGGGCGACACUUUAUUCACGCAGUCGUGGACGCCGCUCAGGGUCAAGCUUAGGUAUGUUUUUUGAUUAGUUGUUCCUGAAUUUCAUCACGUUUGCGUUGCUGUCCCUUUCUGUUUGUGUCUCACGAUUGAUUACAUUAGGGCUUCGGAUGUGUUCUCCUUUCGUUUUUUGAGGAUUGUGUUUAUGUUGUUUGGGUACAGAUUGGAGGAAAAAAAUUCCAAAAACUGUUCUUGUGCUUCAUUUCCAUUUCCAAUUUCAUUUUCUUUUCUUUUGGAUGAAAAUGGAAUCAGAGAUGUCAUCGCUUCUACUUUCUUCCUCUGAUAUUUUUGCGGGUUUUGUUAAUGUUAUGGGUGGUGUAUUUUGAUUUCUUUCCGUCUACAGUAAGCAGAUGUCUUUAUUCUUAUGUUUGAAUUCCAACAUAACCAUUCAGUGAAAUUCAAAAAUACGAAAUUGCCAUUGACAUUAAUGGAACUGGGCAUAUUCUCUCAUACCUAAUUCAUAAGCGUCAGACUUUAUUUUCAAUUAAUGUCUAAAAGGAAUAUUGUGGUCUGCAUUGACUGCCUCUGCAAUUCCCUGCAUUGGAGCUUACCCCUAGGAUUGCAGUACCCAAGUAAAGCAAUCCAUUGUUUUUCUUGGAUGCUUCUCAACCCAGUCUUUUUUGUGGGGCUCCCUCCCUUGUCUUUAUUAUAUAAAACGCCACUAAGGACACCAGAAAAUAUUCCUCCCUCUGCUAUUGUAUGCAAUGUGAUAAUGUUAUUUCCUGACACGCUCUUCAAUUGGCACACAAUUUUAUCAGAUCUUUGUUCUGCAGAGCACUGGCUUUGUGGGGAUGCUCUUUUGGUCAUUCUUUUGUUUUUAUUUCUAAAAUUGGUUUGCGCUUUUCUUGGUGGAAGUUGCUUCAUUAAUUUAUGUUUUGGCUCUGCUGCUUGCAAGUUGUAUACUCUCUCGGUUAUAUUUCCUGAAGUUAGUGGGUAGACUCUAAGUCAUCAUGUCAAAGUUCAAUGUCAAGUCUUACUCCUGGAACAUAUUAUGGGAAGUAAUUAUUUCUGUGAAAUAUGAUGUAUACCUACAGGAACAAUCUUUAAUAAAUGAAAGAAAAGGAAAAAAAAAACGAAAAAAGAAAAACCACUUACAUCUUAUUUGCUCAAUUUUUUUUACCAGCAUGAUACUUGGAACGAUUUUUGCUUAUUUUUCAACUGCAUGUCCCUGUUGAAUUGUCGAAUAAUUUUCAUGAUGCACUAGGCUUAUGCUGGCGAUCACUUUUUAAAUGGAUCAUCUGUGAAGUGGCUGGCCAGAAUUUUGAACCUAGGAUGUCGUGCUUACCUAUUUAUACCGAUAUGUUACAGAACCAGUAGUCAGAAUAAUCAAAGAUGACUUCAGAAAAUUAACAGCAUCAUAAAAUGGUUUAAAAUACUAAAAUUUUAAAAUCGUUGAGAAUAAAACACCAGGUUUGUGAAGAAAAAAAAAUAAAAAUAGAACACCGAAUUGGUUCCGGAUCAAUCAUUUCGGCAGCAAAACUGACCCCUAUUUAACACAUUAUGGGGCUUCCAGUUGGAACUGUAAUUAUGCAUAGGUUGUAAUGACACAUCAAUUGCACAACUCAUGUGAAAUCUGAAUCUCUGGUAAAUUAGAUGUUGGGUUUUGGACAGGUUAACACAUCUUACCCUUUAGUUUUAAGGCCUAUUUCCUGGAAUAGCAGGAGCUAGCCGAAUAUGAACACUACAAGCAGUUGCUAGCUUCAGUCAACUAUGUUGGGUUUAUCUGUUUUUCUCAUGGAGCUGUUUUCUGCCUAAUAAAGUGUGAAAUGACAUACAUGUUUUUGAAUUAAAUUUCUAUCCUGGACAUUUUUUUUCCCUUCUUGUUGUUCUUCCUUACUUUGGAUCUGCCUCACCUACCAAAAUGGUAAUGUCCCAUGUGCCUAAACAACAAAAUUAAGGAAUCAUCUGUCAUUAAAGGUUCCACUUUGUUGGGCCAACAAUAAUUACUCCCGUCUUAGCAUUUUGCUUUCAUUCUCUAGAUAGUGACCCAGAUGAUCCUGAGAAAUGUGUCGAGAGAAAUCUAGUGUUUUCUCCAUAUUGACACAUUCCAAAGAUUAGAUUGAUUGAGGGACAGAGAUGACCUGUGUUUUGUUGUAAAUGUUUUCCUUUUAUUUUAGAUUAAUCAAAUCCCUAAUGGUGUUCUUAUAUAUUUUCUCGACUUCUUUAAUUGAAUGUAGAAUGUAUUCAAUGUUAAAUAAUUGUACCUUUUUUCUUACAUUUUAAAUUAAGAAGCCCUGAUGGUUUUCCUUGAGCUCAUCAUGAUGGAAUGACUUUUAUGACAGUCCCCUAAAGUUCUCAUUUCUCUUGUUCCCUAGAAAAUUUUUCCCUUUUGCAUAGGAGCAUCUGAUUUUAUAUGCAUCAACUAUUUCAUUUUCUGAUGAUCUAUUGGAUCUUAUGCAGGGGACUGAUUGUUCUUAUGCAUGGCCUGAAUGAACACAGGUUUGCAAUGUCUUCUUUCACCUCUGCGGUUGAAUGCCAUGUUAGUUGAUUGUUUUACUAGAUACAUUCCUUAACAUUUUCAAUAUGAAUUAUAGUGGCAGAUACAGUGAUCUUGGAGAGCAGUUGAAUGCUAAUGGAUACAAGGUCUUUGGAAUGGAUUGGAUUGGUAAGUUUAAAACCAUUUGACAGUGCUGCAUUUGAUAUUAUAUACUCAUAAUCAGUCAAUAGUUUUCUCUAUGUGAUAUUAUGAUACAGAAAGCAUGUCAUAAUUUCCCCAGAGAUGUUCCAUCUUAGCUUAGCUACCUCAUUUAUUGUUUCACUGGACAUUUCCUUUGGUUUAUUGUUCCUUAGUCUGACAUAAGGAGGCAAAGUUAAAUCACAGUUGAAUAUCAAAAAGCAGGCUGGCAUCAAUCAUAUGGACUCUUCCAUCAUAACAUAAUUUGUCCAUGCUGGUUGAUAGAAAGUACCUACUAGAAAAUAUUCCAUACUCAGUUCAUUUGUUUAGAGCUACUUAUUGUGCAAGACUAACGCCACUCCAUUACUUUCUCUAGACUGUUUGAAUCAUUUCUAUUGCAUGUCUUGGCAAAACAAUUUUACUAUUUUUAUCCUGGAGUCCCUGGUCAAGGUCCUCCUGAUAAAAAUGCAAUGUAAACUCUUUUUUAUUUUUUUCCUUUUCAUUUUUGUUUUAUAUGGGAGAUGUGCUAUUUAGUACUUCCAUGUUAAUUAUCCAACUAUAUUUCAAUAUUAAGCAUUGAGUGCUCCAAUUCAAUACCCCUAGCUGUUAAAAUAUGCUAUGAGUCUAAAAUGGCUCAGGUUUAACAUCAUUAUGCAAGCAGUUUGGAUUUAAAUUGAUCGUGCAUUCUUGGAAAUAAGAAAAUGAAUGUUUUAUUGGCUCAUUACUUUCUUGUAGAGUAAUUGGGUCUUCAUUUGCUUGCUUGAUAACGCUACCAUAUAGUAGUUUUUCUACCUAUUAUCCCAAUUCUAAUGUCAUUAAUGACUUGUGCCAUGUGUCCGACUAGUGAUUUCUCUUGGAUUCUUUUACCAAUGUGCUAAAACGACCUUGUGGGGUAAACCAUAAAAAAGCUAAGAGAACUCUGUCAUUUUAUUUUGUAAUUGAGGGUGCUUUGGAAGUGGUACAAGAUAUAGCAUGAGAGACUGAAGGGAAAAUGGAGUCUUCUGCUAUGAUUGGUUCUUGGAAAAUUUGAGGAAAAAUGUGAGGGAAAGAAAAUAGAGAGAAAAAGUAAAGGGAAAGAAAAAGUGAAAGGAAAAUAAAAAAUAAAUUUGAAAAUCAAGAAACUAUUUUUAUAUUCUACUUCAAACUCAUUUUACUUAUUUUUCCUCUUUUAUGUAAAGAUUAUAUAAUUUAGAAGAGUAUAAAUUUCUAACUAAUGUGAAACUAAACAUGAGAAAAUCAUAUUCCUUAGCAUUUUUUCUCUCUGUAGUACUUUCUGAGAACCAAACAUAGUCGUAAAGUAGCAUAGCAAGAGUAUUAAGGGUAAUUAGCUUGGAAAUGAUGAAAACCUAAUGGAGAACUCUGUUUGAUGAAUGGAAAUUGUUAAAUGAUUUAUGCAGGGCUUUAUACCACAAUUUAUCCCAUUAGAAAAGGAUUUUCUUAGAAAUUUCAGUACUUAUGGAUAUGGAUUUUGCCUCAUUUAGGGGUUCUAGAAUCUGGAGUUGAACAUGGAAAUAAAUAUAGGAUUGUGUACGGUUCAAAACUAGCCCUUGAGGCUUGGCUCAAGUGGUAAUCAGAUGGGGAGGGUUUGCGGGUGGUUUGAGGUUCAAAUCCCAAUGAAAACAAAAAUUACCUAUUAAAAAAAAGUGGUGUAUGGUUCAAAAUUAAAAAAUAGAGGAAGUAAAAGCUAAUUAGGUGGCUUAGACAAAGAAAUUCAGCCAUGGGUUUCUAGUCAAGAUCAUCCAUUAAGAUUUGGGUUUUGAUUAUGUAUGGACUAAGGUCUACUGAUUGUAAAACAGGAUAGAAGAAGACAUGUUGGAUGAGGUUGAAUGCACAAUAUCCAGGAAAUUAGAAUAAAACAGAAAACCUUGGUUGCAACUAAGUUAGAGGAGGAGGGGAGAGAGAACCUAGAGAAUUCACACCUAGGGUUAUUAGGGAUCAUGCUAAGAUGAUAAAAGCAUCACACAACCCAAAGCAAGCGUAUCUGCUGCUGUAAGCUCAGAAAGUUUUUAAUUAGCUUUUAGUGUAGGAGUUUGCAAUUGUUUAGCUUUAGUGAACUCAUGACCCUGAACACCAAUUGGUCAAGGUAAAGUUCACCCCUUAUCAACCAGGGCCAUUUAGCCCAUUUAAAUCAGAAAGCAAACAAUAAGAAGUCUGACGCCAUCCUGCCCAUUAAAUUCCUCAUAGAAAAAUUACAAAAUCACCUUAGGCUAAAUUAUUUAAAAGAAAUGCUAAAAAAAAUAUUAAGCCAUCAGUAAAUAAUGAAUCCAAAAUAAAAUAAAAACACUUUCAGUGACAAAAAAUAAAAAAUAAAAAAUAAAAAAUCAAAGCAUCCACCAUAUUUCUAAUUUGCUAAAUAAAAAGUUGUGAUUUAAAAUUAGG
rnacentral:lncRNA from 1 species